GAUGAACGCUGGCGGCGUGCCUAAUACAUGCAAGUCGAGCGAACGGACGAGAAGCUUGCUUCUCUAAUGUUAGCGGCGGACGGGUGAGUAACACGUGGAUAACCUACCUAUAAGACUGGGAUAACUUCGGGAAACCGUAGCUAAUACCGGAUAAUAUUUUGAACCGCAUGGUUCAAAAGUGAAAGACGGUCUUGCUGUCACUUAUAGAUGGAUCCGCGCUGCAUUAGCUAGUUGGUAAGGUAACGGCUUACCAAGGCAACGAUGCAUAGCCGACCUGAGAGGGUGAUCGGCCACACUGGAACUGAGACACGGUCCAGACUCCUACGGGAGGCAGCAGUAGGGAAUCUUCCGCAAUGGGCGAAAGCCUGACGGAGCAACGCCGCGUGAGCGAUGAAGGUCUUCGGAUCGUAAAACUCUGUUAUUAGGGAAGAACAUAUGUGUAAGUAACUGUGCACAUCUUGACGGUACCUAAUCAGAAAGCCACGGCUAACUACGUG
rnacentral:rRNA from 1 species